GUACUCGCUUUGGCAGCACAUAUACUAAAAUUGGAACAAUACAGAGAAGAUUAGCACAGCCCCCAUGCAAGGACGACACCCAAGUUCAUGAAGCAUUCCAUAUUUUU
ensembl:snRNA U6 U6 spliceosomal RNA